rnacentral:rRNA from 1 species
AGCGGCGGACGGGUGAGUAACGCGUGGGUAACCUGCCUCAUACAGGGGGAUAACAGUUGGAAACGGCUGCUAAUACCGCAUAAGCGCACAGUACCGCAUGGUACGGUGUGAAAAACUCCGGUGGUAUGAGAUGGACCCGCGUCUGAUUAGGUAGUUGGUGGGGUAACGGCCUACCAAGCCGACGAUCAGUAGCCGACCUGAGAGAGUGACCGGCCACAUUGGGACUGAGACACGGCCCAA